rnacentral:rRNA from 1 species
UACGUAGGGGGCUAGCGUUGUCCGGAUUUAUUGGGCGUAAAGAGCGUGUAGGCGGCCAGGUAGGUCUGGUGUGAAAACUCGAGGCUUAACCUCGAGAUGUCAUCGGAAACCAUCUGGCUAGAGUCCGGAAGAGGAGAGCGGAAUUCCUGGUGUAGCGGUGGAAUGCGCAGAUAUCAGGAAGAACACCCGUGGCGAAGGCGGCUCUCUGGGACGGUACUGACGCUGAGACGCGAAAGCGUGGGGAGCGAACAGG